rnacentral:lncRNA from 1 species
CCCAUCCCAGGGGCUCAGGGGCCAUUCCAGGGCCCGUCCCAGGGGCUCAGGGCCCACCCCAGGGGCUCAGGGUGGCCAUGCUCAGGCUCAGGGCCCAUCCCAGUGCUCAGGAGCAGCUCUGACCCCAAUGCCCACAGGUGGUGCCAGGCUACGGGCACGCGGUGCUGCGCAAGACGGACCCGCGCUACACCUGCCAGCGGGAGUUCGCCCUCAAGCACCUGCCCAAGGACCCCCUGUUCAAGCUGGUGGCUCAGCUCUACAAGAUCGUCCCCAACGUGCUCCUGGAGCAGGGCAAGGCCAAGAACCCCUGGCCCAACGUGGAUGCCCACAGCGGGGUCCUGCUGCAGUACUACGGCAUGAAGGAGAUGAAUUACUACGCUGUUCUUUGCUGUGUCCUGAGCUCUGUUCUCCUUCCUGUCUGUCUGUCUGUCUGUCCCUCUGUCUGUCUGUCCCGCCUGUCCCUGUGUCUGUCCCUGUGUCUGUCUGUCCCUCCGUGCCCGCUCUGACCCCGCUCUGUCCCGCAGUACUACGGCAUGAAGGAGAUGAAUUACUACACCGUUCUGUUCGGCGUUUCCCGAGCUCUGGGCGUUCUGUCCCAGCUCAUCUGGAGCCGAGCCCUGGGCUUCCCCCUGGAGAGACCCAAAUCCAUGAGCACCAAGGGGCUGAUGCAGCUCGUGGGCUACAAAUCCGCCUGAGAAGGGACGGGGACGGGGCUCCCCCAGGGAAGAACGCAGCACUGCCGGGCCCGGCCCGGCCACCCCCGCCACUGAACCCCCCUCGGGACCCCCAGCCCACCCUGGGGUCCCCCCACACCCCGCCCCGGUGCUUGGGGGGGUCUGCAGAGCCCCCCGCCCACCCCAGCAGCUCUCACUGCGCACACUGGGAGCCCCCCCAGGCUCCCC